GAUGAACGCUGGCGGCGUGCCUAAUACAUGCAAGUCGAGCGAACAGACGAGGAGCUUGCUCCUCUGACGUUAGCGGCGGACGGGUGAGUAACACGUGGAUAACCUACCUAUAAGACUGGGAUAAUUUCGGGAAACCGGAGCUAAUACCGGAUAUUAUAUUGAACGGCAUGGUUCAAUAGUGAAAGAGGGUUUGGCUGUCACUUAUAGAUGGAUCCGCGCCGCAUUAGCUAGUUGGUAAGGUAACGGCUUACCAAGGCAACGAUGCGUAGCCGACCUGAGAGGGUGAUCGGCCACACUGGAACUGAGACACGGUCCAGACUCCUACGGGAGGCAGCAGUAGGGAAUCUUCCGCAAUGGGCGAAAGCCUGACGGAGCAACGCCGCGUGAGUGAUGAAGGUCUUCGGAUCGUAAAACUCUGUUAUUAGGGAAGAACAAAUGUGUAAGUAACUAUGCACGUCUUGACGGUACCUAAUCAGAAAGCCACGGCUAACUACGUG
rnacentral:rRNA from 1 species